UGGGGAAUUUUGCGCAAUGGGGGAAACCCUGACGCAGCAACGCCGCGUGAGUGAUGAAGGCCUUCGGGUCGUAAAGCUCUGUCAGAGGGAAAGAAGUGCAGUGGUGCUAAUACCAUCAUUGCUUGACGGUACCCUCAAAGGAAGCACCGGCUAACUCCGUGCCAGCAGCCGCGGUAAUACGGAGGGUGCGAGCGUUGUUCGGAAUUAUUGGGCGUAAAGCGCGUGCAGGCGGUCUUUUAAGUCUGAUGUGAAAGCCCCGGGCUCAACCUGGGAAGUGCAUUGGAAACUGGGAAACUUGAAUGCGGGAGAGGGUAGUGGAAUUCCUGGUGUAGGAGUGAAAUCCGUAGAUAUUAGGAGGAACACCGGUGGCGAAGGCGGCUACCUGGACCGAUAUUGACGCUGAGACGCGAAAGCGUGGGGAGCAAACA
rnacentral:rRNA from 1 species